rnacentral:rRNA from 1 species
GAUGAACGCUGGCGGCGUGCCUAAUACAUGCAAGUCGAGCGAACAGACGAGGAGCUUGCUCCUCUGACGUUAGCGGCGGACGGGUGAGUAACACGUGGAUAACCUACCUAUAAGACUGGGAUAACUUCGGGAAACCGGAGCUAAUACCGGAUAAUAUAUUGAACCGCAUGGUUCAAUAGUGAAAGACGGUUUUGCUGUCAAUUAUAGAUGGAUCCGCGCCGCAUUAGCUAGUUGGUAAGGUAACGCCUUACCAAGGGAACGAUGCGUAGCCGACCUGAGAGGGUGAUCGGCCACACGGGAACGGAGACACGGUCCAGACCCCUACGGGAGGCACCAGUAGGGAAUCUUCCGCAAUGGGCGAAAGCCUGACGGAGCAACGCCGCGUGAGUGAGGAAGGUCUUCGGAUCGUAAAUCUCUGUUAUUAGGGAAGAACAAAUGUGUAAGUAACUAUGCACGUCUUGACGGUACCUAAUCAGAAAGCCCCGGCUAACUACGUG